rnacentral:rRNA from 1 species
UGUGCUAAGGUAGCAUAAUCACUAGCCUUUUAAUUGAAGGCUUGUAUGAAAGGUAUAACAAUUUAAUUUCUUUUUUAUUUAACACUUUCUAAAUUUUAUUAAAUAUAAAAAUAUAUUUAUAAAAAUACAAGACGACAAGACCCUAUUGAACUUUACUGAAGUUUAGCUGGGGCAGCUAAUUAAUAAAAAUUUUAAUAAAAUACUCUUUUAUAAAAGACCCAAUACUAUUGAAUAUUUGAAUUAAGUUACCAUAGGGAUAACAGCGUAAUUUAUUUUUAAAGUUCAUAUUAAAAAAAAAGAUUGCGACCUCGAUGUUGAAUUAUUGUUUCAACUAUGUAACAGUAUAAAUUGUAGGUCUGUUCGACCUUUAAAACAAUACAUGAUUUGAGUUCAAAUCGGCGUAAGCCAGAUUGGUUUCUAUCUGUUUUCAAGUUUAUUUAGUACGAAAGGACCAAUAAACUAAUUUUAAAU